rnacentral:misc_RNA from 1 species
AAGCUAAGUGAAUCAAUCUUAUCCAGAGCACAAAGGGGUGCAAGAAAAACAACCACCACAACCAAAAUCACCAACUUCCUAUGAUCCCACACCCCAUGCCCUAACCAUUGAUCAAAAACCCCCAUAUGAUGGAGAGAUCCUGACAUAACAUCACCUACAAUUAUCAAAUACACAACCAUAAAACCUGCAUUGUUCAAAAUUAUACAAAUCUCAGACAAAACCUUGCCGGUUUUUCCUAAAGCACAUUGGACAACUUCACCAUAGGAAGAAGCCUUACAAAGUACCGAAAACCUAACUAAUAAUUCAACACUGAUUUCAGACAGAAUACCCAUCAGAA